rnacentral:rRNA from 1 species
CUCUUGACAUCCAGAGAACUUAGCAGAGAUGCUUUGGUGCCUUCGGGAACUCUGAGACAGGUGCUGCAUGGCUGUCGUCAGCUCGUGUUGUGAAAUGUUGGGUUAAGUCCCGCAACGAGCGCAACCCUUAUCCUUUGUUGCCAGCGCGUGAUGGCGGGAACUCAAAGGAGACUGCCGGUGAUAAACCGGAGGAAGGUGGGGAUGACGUCAAGUCAUCAUGGCCCUUACGAGUAGGGCUACACACGUGCUACAAUGGCGUAUACAAAGGGAAGCGACCCCGCGAGGGCAAGCGGAACUCAUAAAGUACGUCGUAGUCCGGAUUGGAGUCUGCAACUCGACUCCAUGAAGUCGGAAUCGCUAGUAAUCGUAGAUCAGAAUGCUACGGUGAAUACGUUCCCGGGCCUUGUACACACCGCCCGUCACACCAUGGGAGUGGGUUGCAAAAGAAGUAGGUAGCUUAACCUCCGGGAGGGCGCUUACCACUUUGUGAUUCAUGACUGGGGUGAAGUCGUAACAAGGUAACCGUAGGGGAACCUGCGGUUGGAUCACCUCCUUACCU